AUUGAACGCUGGCGGCAUGCCUAACACAUGCAAGUCGAGCGAGCGGCGGACGGGUGAGUAAUGUAUGGGGACUGCCCGAUGGCGGGGGAUAAAUACUGGAAACAGUAGCUAAUACCGCAUACCAUGAGAUAACCCAUAUGGGAUUCGCUAGUUGGUGAGGUAACGGCGUACCUAGGCGACGAUCCCUAGCUGGUCUGAGAGGAUGAUCAGCCACACUGGGACGUGGACACGGCCAUGACUCCUACGGAGGCAGCAGUGGGGAAUAUUGGACAAUGGGGGGAAGCCUGAUGCAGCCAGGCCGCGUGUAUGAAGAAGGCCUUCGGGUUGUAAAGUACGUUCAGUCGGGAGGCGGUACCGACAGAAGAAGCACCGGCUAACUCCGUGCCAGCAGCCGCGGUAAUUC
rnacentral:rRNA from 1 species